UACGUAGGGGGCAAGCGUUGUUCGGAAUUACUGGGCGUAAAGGGCGCGUAGGCGGCCUGCUAAGUCACACGUGAAAUCCCUCGGCUCAACCGGGGAACUGCGUGUGAUACUGGCGGGCUUGAAUUCGGGAGAGGGAUGUGGAAUUCCAGGUGUAGCGGUGAAAUGCGUAGAUAUCUGGAGGAACACCGGUGGCGAAGGCGGCAUCCUGGACCGAGAUUGACGCUGAGGCGCGAAAGCUAGGGGAGCAAACGGGG
rnacentral:rRNA from 1 species